GGAUUUGAUUUAGGAUUUGGUUAGGAUUUGAUUAGGGUUUGAUUUAGGAUUUAGGAUUUGAUUAGGAUUUGAUUUAGGAUUUUCUUAGGAUUUGAUUUAGGAUUUAAGAUUUUAUUAGGAUUUAUUUAGGGUUUAAGAUUUAGUUAGUUUUUGGCCUAAAGUUUGAAUGAAGUCCAAUAGGAUUUUAACUAGGAUUAAAUUAAGAUUGAAUUGAGAUGUAUUUGAGAUAUAUUUGUGAUCAUUUUAAUAUUUCUUUAAGAUUUUUUAUUAUUUCUUUGAAAUUUCUUUGAGGUUUCUUUAAAUUUGAUUAAAGCUUGCUUAGUAUUAUUAUGGUUUGAUUAAAGUUUAGUUAGUAUUCUAUUAGAGUUAGGAUUUUGUUGUUACAAUUUCUAUUCUACCUUCUAUAGCUAAGUGCCCGAAGCAUUCUCAAGCAAGACUUCAUGUAAUAUGACUUAUUUGGUGA
rnacentral:lncRNA from 1 species